GGCCGCCUCUUCUCCUCCACCUCUGUCUCCACCACCUCCUCCUCUCCUGCCUCCACACAGGCCAGGCUGUGAGCUUGGGCCGGUCGGAGAGCUGGUGGCCGGCGGCAAGGAGUGGAGGACAUGGCGGGGCGCGCAGCGGUGCGAAGAGGCAGAAGUCGCCGUCUCUGCUGGUCGACGAUGGAGAAACGGUCGCAACCGAGGAGGAUAGCCAUGGAGGGGAGGGCGUGGCCUCGAUCCGGAUGAGGGGAGCAGUAGCUGUGCCCCUCUUCUUCACGCGCAGUGGCCGGGGGCCUCGGCUAGGAGCUUCGCCCUCUUAUUCGUGCGCGGUGCAGCAGUGACCUGAGGACGAGUUCGAGGCAUAGUGGUGGUUCCAACACACGUCGCAGGGGGAGGCGGCGGUGCUUCCUUGCCUCGUCUGUUCCCCCACCCCCCUCCCGCAUCUCCUCUGCCAUGGGUGCGGAGGCGAGCUUCCCGGCGAUGGUGGCGGCACUGGAUUCGAUCUGCAGGAGAGAGAGGGAGGUGCGUCUUCGAAUGGGAGAGGGUCUCCGCCGGCGUCGGCCUGCACCGGCGACCUCGCCUUCCAGGGCGGCUUGACUACAGUCUACAGAUAGGAGAACAAAUAAAUAGGACCAAGAAAAUUAGUUGCUCGUAUAUUCAUGUGUCGCGGAGAGAAGUACCCGAUUGGAGAAAUUUGGUAUGCCGAGUAAUCUGCAGACCAUAUGCGGAGGC